CCCGUGUCCCCUGCAUCGGCAGGCGGACUCUCAACCACUGCACCACCAGGGAAGCCCUAGCUACUUCUUUUGACCUGAGAGUUUGCACAUUUGCUCAGUCUGGGGGACAUUUUCUGAAUAUCUGCUCUAGACCACGUACUGUGUGAUGUGCUGGGGAAAUAAAGACGGUGUCACAGUUCAGUGAUACUAGUGUGACUCGUGCCUAAGAAGUCCGCUGCCGGGGUUUGAGAGAGUCACGGGGAAGAAGAGAGCUCAACCAGUGGCCUGGAGAAGCAAGGAGGAGAGUUUUAUCCUGGGACUAGAAGAGCCACUUUCAAAGCAGAGACCUUAGGCACUCGACCUCAGAAUUACCUGGGGGAAUUAAAAUGCAGAUUCCAGGCUCUCAUCCCCAGCCUGCUGAUCCAGAGUCUCAGGACUGGGUCCCGGGGAUCUGCCUGUGGAUUCUUAGAAAUCUAUCGAGUUGGCGGUGUUGUGUGAUUGCUGGAGUUUGAGGUGAAUAAAGCAGACACAGCCCCUGCCCUCAUGGCAUUUGCGACCUAGAAGGGAAGAGAAACAAGUAAAGGAUGCAUCGCAGUGAAGUGUGGUGAGAGUUGAGCCAAUUCUUCCGUGGUUCCUUUGAGCCCUCAGAGAGCACACCUGGCCCGGGGCUGGAUGGCUCGUUGGUAUUUGAGAUAUCCUGUCCUGUGUUCAUUUGUUCCUUCGAUCGCAAGCAUUUGCUGAACCCCUAUUAUGUGCCAUAUGGAAUGAAUUAUGUCCCAUCCUCUGCUAAUAACCUUAGAGGCAGAUUUAAUAAAAAAUGAGCAAAAUGUAAAACCUUGUCUCAAGAAGCUCAGAGUCAAGUGAAGGGGGUCAGAAAAGUAAACCAAUUGCAUUGAGGCUGGGGUCAUGGGUCAGGUGUACAGUCAUGGUCUGU